rnacentral:piRNA from 1 species
UAGAUGGGUGUGAGCUUCUAUGUGGACGCU